UAUUCUCAACCCCUCCAGUUUUUGUGACUGGCCUUUGGGGCUUGGAUGUGGAGGUUUUUUGCAGGCUCUGUAUUGAGUCAGCUCCUCUGAAAUGCAUUAGCGGAACUGUUUGCGAUCCGUCACAGGUGUGAUAAUUAUCUACGCCUAAAGGGUUGCUUUCUUAGUGUUCAGCUUAUAAUCGUCCUAAUUGCUGGACAAAAUAUAAUUGAAC
rnacentral:misc_RNA from 1 species